rnacentral:rRNA from 1 species
GUUAAGUAUAUAAAGAAACUAUUAUGGAUAAAUAGCUAUAUAUCAUUAGGAAAUAUUAAACACGCUACCAUGUGUAACAACGUUGUGUAAAUACAACGUUGGAUAACUUGGACGUGUAAUCCAGGUAAAAACCAAUAUUUAAACGAAGUGAACUGAAAUAUCUUAUUAGCUUCAGGAAAAUAAAUCAAAUGAGAUUGUUUUAUCAAAAUAAUAUGAUAAAAUAUGAGUCUUUAAAGUAAAAUGGAUAUAAUCUGUUUGAAUAUAGGGAAACCUUUCUCUAAGACUAAAUAUGAUAUAUUACGCGACAGUUUAGUAGUACCGUAAGGGAAUUGUUUGAAAUAGUAGUUUUAUAAGCAGCUCAAGUUUAGUUUAAAAAAUAAAUUAGAGCGUACCUUUUGCAUAAUGGGUCAGCAAGUUAAUAUUAGAUGCGAGAUGAAUAAUCCCAGAUAAACCAAUUAUUAAAUAAUGAACAAGUAUCUAGUAUUAGACCCGAAGCCUAGUGAUCUUACCAUGAUCAGGGUUAUAAAAGCUCGAACAGGUUAUCGUUGUAAAGAUAUCUGAUGAAUUGUGGUAAGUUAGUGAAAGACAAAACUGACUAGGAUAGCUGGUUUUCCGCGAAACCUAUAUAAGUAGGUAGUUUAAAAUUUUUACUUGAAAAAGUAAUAACAUCAUUGCAGGUACAGAAUUGUGAUCUCAGACAAAUUUAGAUUAUCGCAUUUUUUAUAAAAAGCGUAAUCUGUUUGUAUACAUUGGGGGAUCGUGAAGAUUUUAUCAGUGAGGAUUUGCUCUCGGAAGGGCAAUGAUGAAUAUUAAAUUGUCGGACAUAGUACGAUAAGGUUGUAUGUCUAAAGGGAAACAGCCCAGAACAAGAGUUAAAGGUUCCAAAAUUAUUGUUAAGUGAAAUUAAGGGAGUUUUUUUCAAAUACAACCAGGAAAUAGGCUUAGAAGCGGCCAUUUUUUAAAGAUCUCGUAACAGAGCACUGUUUUAUUUUAAUAUAAAGUUAAACGCACCGAAAAUUUAACGGAUCUAAACAAUAUACCGAAACCUUGUACGUAAAUAAAAAUUAGGUUUAUUUACGGGGUAGCGGAACGUUGGGUUAACUUUUAGAAUUUAUAUCAUUGAUAUGAAUUAAGUUUAGACAUAAACAAGAUAAUCCCAAGUGAUAAUGCUGACAUGAGUAACGAAAAAGGGUAAACCCCUCGCCUUAAGCUUAUGGUAUUUUUCUUAAAGUAACGGCCCCUAAGUUUAUUGAUCUGACCUAAAGGAUUAAAUGAUGGGAAAAUCUUUAUAUAUACCUAAACAUUUAGGUAUUAAUAUUUUCUUAAAUAAGUAUAAUGUUAUAAAGGUUUAAGAAAAUAAUAAUACAAAGUAGUGAAUGUUCUGGAAAAAGUAUGUAAUAAUAUAACCGUACCUAAAUACUACCACAAGUAAGCAAGUAGAGUAUACAAAGGCGUUUGAGAUAACAAUCAUUAAGGAACUCGGCAAAAUGACACCGUAACUUCGGGAUAAGGUGUGCCAUUAUUCAUUUUUUUUUUAAUCAUUUUUAUAUUAUUAGAAAAACAAAAAAAAGCUUUUUUAAUAAGAAAAAAGUGAUUAAAGAAAAAAUACAGCGAUAAGAGGAGACAUAAAAUGGUGUUGUACGACUGUUUAAUUAAAACAAAGCACUUUGCAUAAGAUUUUAAAUCAAAGUAUUGAGUGUGAUUUCUGCCCGAUGUUGGCUGGUUAACGGAUUUUCUUAGUAAAAUAAAAAAGCUAGGUUUUGAAGGAACCCCCAAUCAAUGGCGGCCUUACCGAUGAGGGUCCUAAGGUAGCGGAAUACCUUGGCCGUUAAAUGCGGUCUUUGCAUGAAUGAUUUAACGAUACAACAGCUGUCUCAAUGAUUGUCUCAGUGAAAUUGGAAUAACUGUGCAGAUACAGUUUUCUUCUAGUUAGACGAGAAGACCCUAUGCAGCUUUACUGUUGCUAGUAAUUGAAUAUAAUAAAACAAGUUGUAGUAUAUAAGGUUAUUGAUAAGAUAAUAGUGAAAUACCUUUACUUAGUUUAUUAUAUUAUUGGGGGUUAUAAUAUGUGUUUAAAGUCAAGAGUUAAAGCGUUUGCAGCAACCGUUACAUUGAAGUUAAUAAUGGUGUUAAUGGAUAUGUAGCCUAUAUUAUAAGUAGAGGAGCCGAUAAGUAGCUUAUCUUACGAGGCUGUAUAAUAUAGAUGGUAUAGUAUACAUAGUAUACUUACAAACUUUUUACUUAUUAUAAUUACCCAAACGCUUAUCCAAAAGAAAAAUAAUGGUGUAUUUCCCCUUAUUACCUAAUAAGAGAGACACAAGCACACAUUAAGGAGAAAUUUGCUAGUGGACAGUUUAUGCGGGGCACAGAUCCCACAAAAAGUACCUGGGUGUAUCCAAAGUUAAAACUGUAAAUUUAUCAAGUUUAAUUGGUAAUUUUGUACUAAUAUUAUGCUCGUAACAUGUUUAUCGUAAUUAGUAUUAGUACAUUACGUUUAUUUACUUUGUAAUGGAUUAUUUUUAAUUUAUUCACUUAUAAUUCUAUUAAGUUAGAUUAAUUUUAUUUUUUUAAGUAAGGUUUUAACUAUAUGGAAAAUAGAUGUUAAUAAACCGUUAAUUUGUACAGGUUUUAUUUGUUUUUUUGUAUAAAUUUAUAAUUUUUUGUGGUAAUAAUACCAAAUAUUACACUUUUUGUAUAAAUUAAAAAUGAUAUUACGAAACUUUUUCAUAAAAAUUUACAAUAAAAAUGAUUUUUAAAAUAACUAUUAAAGUUUAAUGGCUUAACCUUGCUUUACUGUUUGACUUACAUGUCUAUCAGUCGCGUAAGCGGGGCAUACGAUCACAAGAUGCAGAAAGGAAAGGUCUUGGAUUUUUGAAAAAGCUACGCUAGGGAUAACAGGCUAAUUGCGCCAGAGAGUACAAAUUGAGUGCGCAGUUUGGCACCUCGAUGUCGGCUUAGCUCAUCCACAUGAAUGCAGGAAUCAUGAAGGGUACGACUGUUCGUCGGUUAAAGAGCUACACGAGCUGGGUUAAAUACGUCGUGAGACAGUAUGGUUUCUAUCUUCUAGAAGUAAUUAGAGUAAAACAAGAAUAGCCCCUUCGUACGAAAGGAGUUGGGUAUGUUAACCUCUGGUUUAUUUGUUGUCUUAUGGUAAUUAAUAAUCCGUAUAAUACGCCAAAAGGCGGGGAUGGAGUUUGUUAAAAGCUCCUACCCACGGUUACUUUAAAUAUUACUUAAUUUAGAGAAAAACAGGCACAGCAAUAAAGCUACGUUAGUUAUAAAUAAGUGCUGAAUGCAUAUAGGCACGAAGUUUAUCUUCGUAUACUCUUAAAUAUACGUAAUACAACAUUACGAAUUGUGUAAUAACAAUUGUAUAGGCUUUGGUUUAAAUAAUUUUGAUAUUUUCAGACACAAAGUACUAAUUAUAUUAAUAACUAAAUUU